rnacentral:sRNA from 1 species
UGAGAAAACAAUAGUGCUGACAUGAGGUGUCAGUUUGGUGAUGCCCUACUGUUCCAGAACUCACAUUUCUUUCCCCUAGUAGGGCUACACCUAGUAGGACAAGGUCUGAAGGCUCCUCGGCUAACAGUUUCAGAAUCGACCACUGAGUCUGGCCUCCUUGUAAGCCUAAUCACUGUCUCGCUCCACGGUCAGCAUUCCAGAACAAAGUGCCCCGUCCUAAAGAUCCUUGGUGCUCACACCUUUCCUUCCAAAGAGGAGCUGCCUAGACUACAUACGACAAUCUCAACACAAGAAACAAGAGACCCUGUCUCAAAAAAGUUCCAAAUAAACAAAACCAAGGAGUUAUGUACGACUGUGUAGACAUGGCAUGAGUGCCGUGCAUGUGAACAGAUGAGUAGAUGCUAAGACCACCAAUACCUUUUUUCCGAGUUGAUGAUAAAUAAAUUCAGAAAUACACCUUUCUAGCAAUGCCAGAGGGGAGGAUACCAAAUUCCUCUACCCAGGCAAGACCAAGAGGUCAUGAGCUAUCAGCCCCAGCAUAUAAGCCAUAUGCACAUAACUAGAAUGCCCUUCCCAUGGAAAAAUGAUCAUUAACAUUGCUCUUGGAAUAUAAAUUUCCACGCUCUAGGAAUACCAGCUGGUGCUUACAGGGUUUCAAAAAAAAAAAAAAAAA